UAGUACUUAUUUGGGCAAUUCAGCAACACAGGGAAGGGACAAGAAAGAGGGAGCCACUGGUAACAAGCGACGGAUAUCUAAUUUACAUUUGGCAACGUUGAUCGUCCAUUUUAUCCGCCAUUCUGUGGGAUUCUUCUUUCGGCUAGGCACGUACAUCAAAAUAUCCUAGUUUUCCAAAAAUGUUGGGCGCUCGCAAAGUUGUUUCCUUGACGAAAUCCCUCGCCGGAACAAAUGGAUUCCAACUGCGAACAUCAGCCAUUUCUGGCCCUGCACGCGUGAAAGUCCCUGCUGCGGAAAAGGCUUUCCUAGGAUUGCUUAUUGUAGGAGGUGUUACAUUCUUCCCUGCUUGGGUGCUGGCGCAUAUCGCCGAAUAUCGAGGAGCUGCCGAUGAAUAACAUCUUUAUUCCUUCCUCAAUGUUGAAGCUGUAGAACGUGUAAAUGAAUGGCCUAAAUAUAAAAGCUCUCAAAGUA